AGUUUGCUUUCGUAGCCUUAGGAGCCAUGCAUUCUAAGUGAACUUUGUCCCAUAUGGAAAGUCAGGCACUGGUGGUUCAAAGACCAUAAGUAUGCACAUGGUACGCCAUAUUGCCAGAGGAAUUGCUUUCCGUACACAGUUGGUGGAUGUAUGUUUAUGAAAGGAUGAACAGCUGGAUAUGUAGAAGAGUGACCAACAGGCGCCACCCA